AAGCGGAGGAAAAGAAACCAACAGGGAUUGCCUCAGUAACGGCGAGUGAAGCGGCAAAAGCUCAAAUUUGAAAUCCCCCGGGAAUUGUAAUUUGAAGAGAUUUGGGUCCGGCCGGCAGGGGUUAAGUCCACUGGAAAGUGGCGCCACAGAGGGUGACAGCCCCGUGAACCCCUUCAAAGCCCUCAUCCCAGAUCUCCAAGAGUCGAGUUGUUUGGGAAUGCAGCUCUAAGUGGGUGGUAAAUUCCAUCUAAAGCUAAAUACCGGCGAGAGACCGAUAGCGAACAAGUACAGUGAUGGAAAGAUGAAAAGCACUUUGAAAAGAGAGUGAAAAAGUACGUGAAAUUGUUGAAAGGGAAGGGCUUGCAAGCAGACACUUAACUGGGCCAGCAUCGGGGCGGCGGGGAGCAAAACCACCGGGGAAUGUACCUUUCGAGGAUUAUAACCCCGGCCCUUACUCCCAUACCACCCCGAGGCCUGCAAUCUAAGGAUGCUGGCUUAUG
rnacentral:rRNA from 1 species